GACUUAGUAGUAUAUUUAAAUUAAUAUUUAAAUAUUCUAGUUUAUUAGUUGUAGACUAUAAUUAAGUCUAAGUAUUAUUGGCAAGUUUCAAGUCUUUUAGACUUUUUCUGAUUAGUUAUCUCAAUUGUUUGUUUCACAGAACUUUCAGUAAUUAAGCCUAUCCUCAAGUAUACUUCCAGUAGUUAUCUUCACUGAUCUGAUCAAGGUCUAAUACACUAAAUACAAAUUGCAUAUGCUCAAGUCAUUUAAUUCAGAAAAUAUAGGGAUAUUUAUAAGAAUACAAUAAAGGAAGUAUGAUAAUAUAAUAGUAUCACUAUGAUAAUAUAAUAUUAAUGCUUUAAGUUCUUCAAUAAAUGUUGAACUAUUGAUAUCAUCUCUAUUUCAUCUUGGGUAAAAUAUUGGCAUAGUUAGUGUUCACAUAAAAUUAUUUAUGAAUGACUUAUAACAUCGUCAUGAAAUAAUAUUGUUACAUUUGGAAAUACAACCCUAAACUGUAAGGAUAUCAAAAACAGUAUUAUCCUACCCUAUCACAUAAUUAUUCAAAAUAGAUUCUCCUUUGGGAUUAUCUAAAUCUCCUAAUCAUGUAUGAUAUUUUGAAUAUUAUUUUUUAAUAUUAUUUAUGACUAAUUCUUUAAUAUAAUUUUAUAGGUUAUUGGUCCAAAUCACUUUGGUGGCUACAUAACCAAAUUUAAAAUAUCAUAUAAAUGAUAAGACUUUUAUUGUAAUUCACAUUCCAUAAGCCUAAUAUCCCAGGUUAUGAAAGGACAUUUGUACCCUCAAUGAUGUAGCGAUUGUGCAGUGUCAAUGUGUACAACGAUUGCAGCAGCAUUGCUGCUACUGAUUGUAGUAGCUGUGAUAGCAUCGUUGCUAGAAGCCAACAUCAACUGGAUGCCGGCAACCGCACAUAGGUGGCGAUUGCACCACGCGCAAUGGCUGUGACUGGCAGCUACGACACCUUGCAUAGUGGUUGUGGGUGACAGUCAUGUCGCGUGCAGACGAUGAUUGUUGCAAUUUACAUUGCAACAACGACGCAUUACGUAGUGGCUGUAGUGCCUCACCCAGGUGGCGGUCGGGCACUACAACGAUCAUGACCCUCUCAAGUGGCGACCACCCUUAAUGACACUAUCACCAAUAACAAACUAUCGAUAGUGAUCCAUCAAUCAAACAUAAGAAACCUUACAUCAUUUGCAAGCAAGUGAUAAGAUAAAUUGAAUAGAAAAACAUAUCGACAAUACUAAC
rnacentral:lncRNA from 1 species